AGAAUCAACGCUGGCGGCGUGCCUCAGACAUGCAAGUCGAACGCGAAAGGCUCCUUCGGGGGCCGAGUAGAGUGGCGCACGGGUGAGUAACACGUAGGUAAUUUGCCUUUGGGUGGGGAAUAACUCAGGGAAACUUGAGCUAAUACCGCAUAAAUGCAGCGGCUCGACAUCGAGACAGUUGUAAAGCGGGGGAUCGCAAGACCUCGCGCCUGAAGAGAAGCCUGCGGCAGAUUAGCUAGUUGGUAGGGUAAUGGCCUACCAAAGGCGAACGAUC
rnacentral:rRNA from 1 species